UUAUAAUUGGAGGGUCUAUGGUGUGCGAAUGCUGAGUUAUCCAUUCCAUUGCAUCUUCAGCAAUAGCGAAUCGUCAAGUAACAAUGAGUGUGUCUGCUGCUUCGUUGCCGUUAACGAGUUCGGCGCCUCCUCCCCGUGCUCUUUCUUUUCCCUAUUUCAAGUCCUUUCAUUUCCCCAUUCGCACCCCAAACCACAAAUUCUCCAAACGACUCAUUGCCAAUGCUGACUUCUCAUCUUCUGCUCCAACUUCAUCUACAGUUGAGGAAGAACAAGAAGAAGAAGAGAGCUACCAAGUUCUCUCGGCUAUGAAAAGUGACUACAAUGACAUAGUCAUUGUUGACACCCCAAAGUCUAGAAUGCUCCUCCUUGAUUCCACGCAUAAUGUUCACAGCAUUCUUUACAAGGAGCAAAAGUGGACUGGUUCCUACUGGGAUGAAUUUGCCAGCUUGCCAGCUAUUGUUCCUAAAGGUCCCAUUGCUAUCUUAGGUUUGGGUGGUGGAACUGCUGCUCAUUUGAUGCUUCACUUAUGGCCUUCACUGCAGCUUGAGGGUUGGGAGAUUGAUGAAAUCUUGAUUGAUAAAGCGAGAGAUUAUUUUGGCCUAUCUGAUCUUGAGAAGACAACAGAAGGUGGUGGCAUUUUAAAUGUUCAUAUCGGUGAUGUCUUCAUUCCAUCAGAGAAUUUAUGCAGAAGAUAUGCUGGCAUUGUAGUUGACUUGUUUUCUGAAGGAAAAGUUUUGCCUCAGCUGGAAGAGGUCAUUCCCUUGUAUGGGAUAAUUUGGGCAUGUUCAUGCAUGUUUUCCGCCACAACCGUGUCAUGCAAAGAGAGGGACGAAACUCUUGCAGAGCCUUGCUUUCCAUGUACAAUGUGCUACAAAUUUUGUGAUGAGCAAGGUAAGUACUUGGUUGGAAUUACAGGAGAGAUUGAUGCCUGACGGUCGCUUCAUGGUGAAUUGUGGUGGCAUUGAUGGGGAAUCCAGUCCAGAGUCUUUAUUAAGUGAUGAGACAUGGCUACUAAAUCCAACAUUGAAAGCACUAUCCAAGGCAUUUCCUGGACAAUUAAGCUGGAAAAGAAUGCCAAAGGUUAGUGGUGAAAAUUUUAUGGCACUCACAGGAUCCAUGCCUGAUGUGGAAUCUUGGUCUGCAAGUGUCUCAUCUCCUCUAAGCACAAAUGUUAAGGAUUGGAGACCUUGUGGGCAGGUUUCUAGAAAUUGAUACUAAUUUGUUCAUAGAUAAAAUAAAGUGUUUGGUAUUUAUUUAUAUAUUUUUUGAGAUAAGUUUUUUUUGAUAGAGAUGAGUUAUUUGCAUAAGUUUAUAAAGUAAUGCUACACAUCUAAGUCUUUUUAUGAACCAAGUCCAACAAAGUUAAACAAUAAGACUUGGAGUAAUUUUAGCUAUAAGUGAUUUUUGUUAUGUUAGACUAACUUGAUUGGACUUGGUUAACAAAAAAGACUUGGAUGUGUAGUAUUAUUCAAUUUUUAUUGGUACACGUUACUUUCUCGUUAUGAAAAGAAUAUAACGAGUAUAAAAAACAAGAAUAAAAAUGUUAUAUACACACAAAAAAUCAGCUACCAUCUAUUUGCAUAUAAAUAUAUAUGUUGUUUAACAUAUGUAUAAUAUGUAUUUAAUAUUUUAACAUGUAUUCUAUAAUCUAUACAGGUUGCUGAUUUUUAGUGUGCAUAUUAUAUGAAUGAAAUAAGAAAUAGUACAUGUAUGUGUACUAGUCUUGUGUGCAUCAAGAGUGGUGGUAUAGCUUCUUUUCUCGUAUUAAAAAUUUGUAUUUUUUUAGUAGCUUUUAUUUCUAAAAGUAUGUACUAUGUUUUGUACACACAAGUAGUGUGUAUCAUACAUUAAAACACAAAAAUGUUAUGGGUGUGAAAAAUGUAAUUACUGAAUAUUUAUGUGUAAAUAUAUAUGUUGUUUUAUACAAUUUUUUCAAGCAAAUAAUUAGCUACUAGAAUAAUCAAAUUUACUAUGGUAGAAAAAUCAAACCUAUAAUAGACAAAUAAUCAAAUUUGUUUAUAGCAGUUUAAAAAAAAUUGGGAUUGUAAUCAAGGAAGAGUAUCUUCUUGAAUAGUUUGUUUCUUUUUCCCUUUUUCUUUUGAUUUUGCUAUUGAAUUAUUAAGUUUAUUGUAUUAUUGGAACAAUUUGUGAUUAAUGCUUAUGAGUUUUAUGUUUUGAUUUUUUGAGUUGUUUACUUGUGUUGCUUAAUUGUUAAAUUUGAGUUUAUAAUUUUCUGCACCUUUAAUUUGUUAAUUAUUUCCAUUCUUGUCAUGAUUCAUGAGUGAGUAGUGUUUUAGUUGGUCUUCAGAGUGAAUUAUCAAGAUGAGUCUUGAACUAUUGUAUUACCUGAUUAAUUGAAUUUGUCCUUAAUUUGAAUUAUAUUAAUAGACAUCAACUCUA